GGCGAUUAUCUUCUCACAAAUCGCACGCAAGUGGGAUAGAGGGAUUCAGAGUGCUUCCUGUAAGCAAAGGAGCUUUUGUAUAGUCCAAACAGCUUUACGAAUAAGCGAUGGGUAAGACAGGUGCCAGCCGCCGCGGUAAUACCUGCGUCGCAGGGGGUGACCACGUUUAUUGGGCUUAAAGCGUUCGUAGCUGGUUCGGAAAGUUCUUAAUGAAAUCCCAUGGUUGACUAUGGGGCUUGUUGGGAUACUGCCGGACUUGGGACCGGGAGAGGUCUGGGGUAUUGUAGGGGUUGGGGUUAAACGUUUUUCUGGCACAUUGUGCUAAAAUAACUGACAAUCCUAUAAUCCCUAUAAGACCACCUGUGGCGAAGGCGCCAGACUAGAACGGAUCCGACAGGAGGGACGAAAGCUAGGGGAGCAAAGGGGAUUAGAUACCCCCGUAGUCCUAGCCGUAAACGAUGCCCGUUAGACAUGGGAGUUCUUAAGGGGGACUUCCGAGUCGUAGGGAAACCGUUAAACGGGCCGCUUGGGGAGUACGGUCGCAAGGCUGAAACUUAGGGGAAUGGGCGUUGUAUCACACAAGGGGUGGAGGCUGCGCUUUAAUUCGAUUCAACGGGAGGAACCUCCCCCAGAAGCGACAGCCGAAUGAAAGGUCAGGGUGAUGGCCUUACCAAACAAGCUGAGCGGGGGGGCAUGGCCUUUCUUCAGUUCGGGGGGGGGAAGCUUUUUUUUUAUGGAUAAUUAAGGGAUUGCUUCCCCAAGAGCCGCCCCCCCUAAGUGUCGUAACAAACAAAACCCCGCGCCCCUUUUUUGCCGAACAGGGUCCUUUGAGCCAGGGAAAAUUAAAGGGGGACCCGUGGGGGAAAACCCCGAAGUAAUGUUUUUUUUCGUACGGCCGGCCUUUUUCCCUUUAAAUUUUUCGGGGGAAAACCGGGCCCUACAAAGGGUGGGGAAAAUGGAAAGCCACCCCCCCAAAGGGGGGGGCUUAUUUUCGGAACCCCAUCCCCCGGCCCCGAAAGAAAGGGUUGCACCCCGCCCCUCUUUAAACCCAAAAAUCCCCUAUAAUCCCCCGUGUUUUUCUUUCUCUGGGGCGAAAACAGGUCCCUCGCUCUCUUUUGACAAAAACACGAAAAGGAGGAAAUAUUGUUUUUUAAACCCUCGUGUGAUCAUAUGUGCCCGCUCG
rnacentral:rRNA from 1 species